UACGGGGGGAGCAAGCGUUGUUCGGAUUUACUGGGCGUAAAGGGCGCGUAGGCGGCCACCGCAAGUCGAUUGUGAAAUCUCCGGGCUUAACCCGGAAAGGUCAACCGAUACUGCGGGGCUAGAGUGCAGAAGGGGCAACUGGAAUUCUCGGUGUAGCGGUGAAAUGCGUAGAUAUCGAGAGGAACACCUGCGGCGAAGGCGGGUUGCUGGGCUGACACUGACGCUGAGGCGCGAAAGCUAGGGGAGCAAACGGG
rnacentral:rRNA from 1 species